rnacentral:rRNA from 1 species
CAAGACAUAUGUUGCCUAUGAAGAUAAUCAAAUCGGAACGCUAUAUUAUGCACAGGAUAUUUUGAUUAAUAAUUGGGAUAUUAUUUAGUGCAGAUAAAAGUGUGAGACGUUCGUGUGGAAGCGAGUGUGGGUGUUUUUUUUACCGUGCAUGUAUUUGAAGUCGUAUAUAUUUCCAAGGUGGGCGGUCGGGUAUACGUCCGGGUAAUAAAGUACCCGAUUCUUGGAGUACUGUUUAUGUAGGAAAAAACGGUCCAGGUGAGGAAGACGGAAUAGGAGAGGAAGUCUGGUUGGCUUUGGAUUAGGAGAGACGAAGCCUGAAAGCAGGCGGGAAGACAGAAGGAACUGCUGCUAAAGAUGGCGAACGACGGGGCAGGCAAGACGGACGUCUCCUGUUGUACUUGUGACUUUUAGUGGUUAUACAACGACUACGAUUACCUAAACUAUCUCAAUGGUUCAGACUCCAGUUAUUCUUUUUAUAUUACGGUCAUAGAAUACGCCCGUUUGAAGCGAUGUACUGACUUUUGAAGGUACUACGACAGCGACAAAGUGCACAGGUACCGAAUGAACUAUAUAAGUGUCUGAAGUGCAUACUAGGUUUGACCGGACUCUAUCAAGUCCCAGAACUCGUACCUGUUGUUCGUCAGCUACUCCGACUAAAAUGACGAGUUCACAUAGUUGACUUUGAGGAACUUAUGCACCUUUUUUAAUUCUGGCCUGUCCACAAACCCGGACAUCAAUGACAGGAGGUGACGCACCUGAAGGUCUUCUCCUGAGACGGGGUACGUGUACAGGAACAAACCGACUUUUUCUAAUACCCGUCCCUAGACGCAGGUGAUUACAACUACUACUACGAGAACGCUAACGUGUACUAUUACGGUACCUCCGACGUGAAGCGACGAAACCUAGAUUAUUGAUUUCGGGACAGGUGUUUCUGUUCACUUUUAACGAAACGGUAACGACAAAAGUGUGCUAACCGGUUCACGGGUCUUAUCGGACAAUGAUACAAACAGCGUACAAAGGUUUGGUUCACAAACCGUUGGGGGUUAGUAUGUAAAGGAAUAAAUACUAGACUUGAUCCGAUAAAAGUACGAGAUACCUAUAGCAAUAAUUGGGAAACAACCACACGGGAGACAUGGAGUACCGAUAAAAUUAAAUGAUGUUUAUAAAUAAAUCGGUCCGAUGCAUUGCAUGCAUGUUAAAGUGACAUCGCACAGGACAAAACUUCAGGUAGGAGCGUACCAUUUGUAUGAACUAUAAAUUAGGAUGCCAAAUCCGCGAGUACUCGGAUGAUGACAACUUUUACGGGUUUAUUUAACAUGGCUGGGAUGUGUGUGGGCCGAAAAGGAGCCGGCAACGUAGAGAUCCGGGUCCAUACACGUUAAUGUUACCAUCAGAGCAAGGAUAGUGUGAGUAUUUAGGAUGUACGAGUUGGAUUGAUAUAUAGAAUGCGUCCGAAUUCAUCUUCUUUUGUUAUCUUCUUUUAAUUUUUGUUCCUUUUAUUAUUAUUUGCUUCUUUCCCUGUUUCCUUUUUCUAAGCCACCUCGGCAAGCGAUGGCGAAGUAUAAGCCGAGGAGUACCCGGUGUUCGCAGCGAUGAGCACCCGACUGAUUUACUAUGUACCCGGUAGUUUUUUGAUACGCCGGGUCGGCGUCGGAUGGAUACCGGGCUACCGCCAUUGAGAGUGGGGGCUCGGGGGCUGGUCCGCUCUGCGGGAAUAGGAGAGGAAGAGGAGAGCAGAAUAGGUAGGUAGAGGAGUGUGAGAAGGAGUAGCGGAUGAGUCUAGAUCGGACGCCGUCGUAGCUGCGGUUCGAGUUGUACCUUCGGUGCUUCCGACGACGGUUAACUGAGAAGGGCUGCCACAAGGAAGGCGUGGCAACACAAAAUGAAGGGAAACUAGGGAAGAGUACGGAAAAGGGAGCACGAACAAGAUCUAGGUGCUAAAGAAACGGCUGGACUGGUCGCGGGGAAGAGGGUGACGACUUGCAGCAGAAAGAGCCGUCCAGGGUCGUUACCGAAGACAAGAAGACGAACUACGAUACAAUCUCUUCCAACCGGAAGGUCGCCGGUGGAUGAGCCGCAAGGGUUGUCUCCCGUGCGCAGACCUCCAGUGGUAAUGGAAAAUGGGUUAGUUCUCGUUCGAGCCCUCCAGUGGACAGUUUCAAAGUUACAGAUGGAGUGUCGUGGUCCUAGAUCGUCUUCGAGUCCUAAUACACCGACGACGUCGUUAAUUCAUGUACCUACGAAUGCUCCCACGCCAAGGUUUUCUAAUGGUAAUACUAGUUGAUGCCUGACACCUUUUCCGUUUAUAUGAUAACCCAGUCGUCGAAUUCCGUUACUUCUCCCUGUUACGUAGAGACUUUGUUUUCGACUUUCUCUCGGAACCGUAUUUGUUCGAGGAGUCGUUUCCUACCCUACCUAGGAACUCGUGCCUUGUCUGGUAGUAGUUGUUGGAAUUGGUAGACCAGUUGUCGUCCGAUUCGGGUCCCAGAUGAGGUCUACUGGACCUCGAGUUAUUACAAGAAGAGUUACAUAUCCGGUCAACACUUAUGGAAGUCGUCAUGUGACUACUCCGGUACCAGUUGGAAGUUCUUUGACCACACAUAUAGGAAUACCGGUCCUCGUCAAUUGUCUGCUGCUACUCCUGGACGGUUGGAGUGAACUACUACUCGUCUAGAAGCUGUUACUUCCUUACGAGAUUACUAAAUACACAGCAUGGACUUCUAUUGAAGAUUGUCGGAACGUUCUUAGAAGUCUAGUGACGAUAGUAGUAAUCUCGAUCGACAACGAGGGAUGAUUAUAUCAAUAGAUAUCGGUAUACAUUAUAUAUAGGAUAGCGUGGUACCGUGUCAGCCAAGAAGGCUUCGAUAGACAACUCGGAAUUACUAUAUACACACAUACACUUGGAUUACUACAUUAUACAGGAUAGCUUGGUACGGUGAGAGGUAAUACGGUUUAGAUGACGAUCUACAAGUACGAAAUAAAUAAACAAAGCGAUGCGAGACGACACAAAUUUAGUAUACAGAUUAUCGUAAGAACCUAGAGAUUAUCG